ACCCUGCCGUCGGCCCAAUCCAAUCGCCCGCACUCCGCAACCCUCCCUCCCUCCUCGAUCUCUCUCCCUCAGCCGCCACAAACCCUAGGUCCCUUUCCUACGAUCCCGUGGUCGCUGCCCUGCUCCAUCCGACCUCCCUCGUCAGUCGUCGCCGCCCCCGCUACGGCUCCUCCGUCCACCGACUUUGUCCGUGCAGGUGGCCAGUUUCCUUCCGCCCCAACCUUCUCCACUGUCUCCCCAGUUCAUACUCCGUCCCUUGCUACUCGAGAUUCUCAUCUGCUCAGGCCGCGAGGAAGCCACGUGAGGAGGAGAGACCUCGUCUCGAGAAGCCGCGGGAGGAGGGGCUCAACCAGAGAGGAGCAGAUGCCAGCCAGGUAGCCGGCUCGGCUCGACGCCGUCCUUCGUGUCUGGGCCGCGGCAGACCCUAGCGCCGUCCUUCAGGUGUCUUCACGGCUGCAGAUGAAGUUGGUGGGUUCAUGGAGACCCAAGGUGCACUGACAGAAGAUAUCAGAGGAGCAGAGGAAAAUGCAAGUGUGUAUGUGUGAAAAAUUAUUGCUUUAACUCAAGAUCAGCUCUUCGUUCUUUCAAGCGCUAUGUUGCUUACUCAAAUGUUUGUGGCGAUUGUAUCCUUGUGCCAUGAAUAUUUGUACUUAGCAGAUCAGUAUAAACAUAUUGGCUAUCUAUUUACCAAUUCAGAAUUUAAAGCACUUUAUUUUAUGGCCUUGAGUAAAAGUUCAGUCGUUGUUGGCUGGAAGACAUCUUCAAUACGCCGUCAACACGAGCUUCCCAAGAAAGAAGAUUUUGUGGAUGAUGUAAGAUAUCCACAUGUUGUAUAUGUGGAAAAACCAAAGGCUCGGGAUGUUGAUUUUUCGGAUGAAAUGAUUUAUCAGGCAAAAACUACAAGUGAAAUGGAAGAAGUAAUGCUCAAAAGCCUGAAUAGAAUUCCUUGGGAAAGGGUAGAUGUUAGCUUCAAGAGAAGUAGACAAUGGAUUUUUGCCCAUAGCACCAUUCAGAGACCCCCUUUGAAAGGCUACAUUUGUAAGUUUCAUUAGCAUCUGUCUACUGAAAGCUCUUGGCUACAUUAGUUUUGUUUAAGCAUUGCCAUCUGUUCUAGAAAUUUUUAGCAGUCAAGUGGUUUUGCUUAUGUCAGUGCAAGAAGACAUUAGAAGAAUGGUCACACUUUAAUGGUUAACUGCAAGGCUGUCAGUGCUUGCACUUUUGAUUUUCGGAAUGCUACAGAUUCUUCUCUGAUGAUAUAGUAGUAGUUGAUCAUGUGGGGCGUAUGGCUCUCCACCGAGGCACCGACACAAGAGCUAGAAAAGGCUACCAUUUAAUUUAGUAGGUAGGUUAUCACGGACCAAAUACGGAUGCAGUCCUUGCUGUCAAAAACAGCAGGCCCUCUCUCCAUUUUAUGCCCAUUCAGGAUGGCUUUGCUACCUAUGCAUUAUAAGUAGAUGAAAGCUCAAGAACACGAGGUUUAGCUCAACUUGAAUGGCUGGCUGGCAGGGUAGCUCUAUCCACUUUGUUUCUUGAAAACAAAAAGGGAAAAAAAGAACAGAGCUAUCCUUGUCCAUACGAGUUGAUGCUCGUGUAAUAAGCUGCAGUGCCAAAACUGAAAUGAGAUACAGUUGAUAAGUGUGUUGAUGAAGUGAAUUUACCAAGUUGUCAUCGUUUGAAA